CCUGGCUUCUCACUUUGGCCACCUUUCAAAACCACAAGUACAUCCAAGGGCAGCCAAGACAACAACAAAGCCAAGAGAUACAGUCUCCAAAUGAGGAGAGACCAACUCUCCCUUCCAGGCUUGCCUUCUGCCUGGCUCCUGGUGGCCAAGACUCCAUUUCCCCAAGAGGAAUUCUCCUGGGUUGGCAGCAGAUCCACUGAUGGAAAAGGGCAAACGUGUUUCAGAGACUCUAGGGGCACAUGAGCCAUUUUAUUAUUUCAGAUGACCGAAGCUGAUGGAAAAGCAUGACUAACAAAAAGGACUCUUGAGGAAGUACUCAAGGUUUCGAGGAUGCAGGGCCUCCUCCAUGGUGGGCACUGUGACUGGUGUUGGGGACAGUGUCAACAACAGUACUCACGAGGUUACUACUCUGUGGUGGAAGCAGACAGCAAGUCCCGGCCACAAAAGCUGACUCUAGAAACCUAGGGCAAAUCCAAGGGAAGGAAGUACAUGGUAUGUAGUUAGGAUCUAGGUUCAAGGUAAACAGACACGGUGUCCUAAUUCAGUCUAAUGCCAGACCUUGAAAUAUAUACAAAGGUCAAAGAUUCUGCAUCUUGAUAUGAACAUAUGAGACCUUUGUGAAUGUCCAAAGAGCUGAAAUCUCAACAGGGACAAGAGUGAGCCUGAGCAACUCCCACCCUCUGUGCUGCCCUCCUGGUCCUGCUCACCGGCUGUCUCUGAAGUGCUCCUGACCAGCGGUCCAACUCGCUGGCUUUGCAGAGAUGUCCCGAAGAAACUGAAGAGCACAUGCUAGUCAAGGCAGAGACAGGCAGCCCGCUUGUUUGGAUUUUUCCAGUUUAUUUCUAAAAUGAGCUAUUUUUCAAGUUAAACUUAUAGAGGGUCAUCUGAUGUGGGAGUUAAAAGCUUUGUCCAAUUUGAAACUCUGGAAAUGUAACUGGGUCAGCUGCCCAAUUAUGACCCCAACAGAGAAUUUCUCAUUUGGAUAUGGAGUUUUGUAACCUCUCUGCAGAGUCAAACAGGAAGAGAAGAAUAAAAAAUUGGCUUAGGCACUUAGAAUGAAGUUUUUCUUCAGUUUAGAAAUGAAGAAUAUCCCUAUUUUCGAAGUAAAUUUAUGAAGUCUAGCCAAAUGACUGAGAUAUGAAUAAUUCUUCCAUGGAUUGUAUUUCAAGCAACACAACACAGAAUUUACAUGAUAAAGUCCUUUCUAUAUGAACAGGAGAUUGAGAUCUUGGUUAGUCAUCUGGAAAGGCCAGGCUUCUCGGCAGGUUUAGAG